GCCUACGGGAGGCAGCAGUGGGGAAUAUUGCACAGUGGGGGAAACCCUGAUGCAGCAACGCCGCGUGAGUGAGGAAGUAUUUCGGUAUGUAAAGCUCUAUCAGCAGGGAAUAGAAAAGAAGGUACCUGAAAAAGAAGCCCCGGCUAACUACGUGCCAGCAGCCGCGGUGAUACGUAGGGGGCAAGCGUUAUCCGGAUUUACUGGGUGUAAAGGGAGCGUAGACGGAAAGGCAAGUCAGAAGUGAAAACCCAAGGCUCAACCAUGGGACUGCUUUUGAAACUGUCAAAUUAGAGUACGGGAGAGGU
rnacentral:rRNA from 1 species